UGUCUGCGCUGGCAGGGUUUUGCAUCAAUUUCAGCAGUACCUGGGCGUUGAGCGCCACAUUGUACGCUGUGUACCUAUUGGGUAACAUGAACUUCAGUAUCGCGUGUAGUUUCAGUGUUGACAUGUUUCCCACAUACAUCAAAGCCGCAGCAAUAUGCUUCACUAUGAUGAUUGGUCGGCUAGCAUCUGUUGCCGGGAUCAAUAUUGUUAAGAAUCUGUUAGCACAUAACUGUGAGCUAGUAUUCUACCUGUUCCCGGCAUUGUCGUUCGCUGCCGUAUUCGCUGUUGUUAUACUACCAGUAGAUAAGAAACUGGAGGUUAAAGAAGACAUAGAAAGUAAUACAAAAUUUUAAUUGAAACUAGUCUGAUUUAGUACUUCAUUAUAGUGGAUAAGUCUUGAAAGAAAGCGAAUUAUAGCCUCUUAUUCAAGCGUGUCUGCAAGUAAUAUGACUUAUCAUCAGUUCACAACAACCACCGAUUUUUGUGUGGAAACAUAUUGCAUAUCAAAAAGACAAAAUUAAAGGGCCAACAGAAAGUAUUUUUAAAUUAAAACAAAGGAUGGAAGCGAAGGAAGGAUCUACAGUACAGAAUCAAGGGGGCUCGAGAUAGAUCCUACAAGCCCGGGACACAUAGAUGAAGACAUAGAACAGAUGGCUGAUGAUUAUGGUUCUAUUAUAUUGGAUCUAGUCUCGGCCGUAAACAUUCAAUUGACAUAAUAUCCUAAAGAAUACAGCAUCAAAUAGCACCUGUAUGAAAAAAAAAAAAAUAUAAUGUAACCAAGAGACUUAAUUUUUACAAGACAAAAUGGAAAUUCUGCAGAACGAGGAUUUGUGGUUAAGGCCAAGUUCCAGAACGCCUCCGCGUAGUGUAUAUAUAGCUUAUUAUGUUUGUAUGACAAUGCUGAAUUACAGCUAUCUACCACACAUU